GAAGGACGAUGCUGUGGAGACCAGACCUGUAGUUGUCAGACAGAGUUCAUACGUCCUGUCCACAGCCAAGAAAUUUGAAUUAAUAGAAUCUCCACUGAGCUCUCCUCUCAAAAACACACAGUUCAUUCAGUCUGAAGGGUAUGUAUGUGCUGAAUUUUAAUUUUUUUUUUAAUUAGAGCAAACUAUGGACAAUUAUGUUGUUGAAUGGUAAUGUCAUAUAUACAUAGGCCAUACAUGUAUAUAUAUAAACAUUGAAAGUUUAUUGUUUUUUUUGUUCUGUGUUUUAGCAAUUCAGCUUAUCGGGCAAAUGGUGAAGUUAUUCCUCUUCAAAAAGAUGCUCAGCCUGAGGGGUCAACAGUGGAGACCACAGAUGGUACAAAGCCCCAAGUACUCCCAGAAGAAGUUAUCCAAAAUGAUGAAGCACAACCAGAAAAAUCUGUUGCCAACACAUCUGCAGAAAACAAGGAAGAUGCAGCAAUUGACCAGACAAACGUAGAACACAAUGAGAAGGCUACUGAGGUCUCUGCAGAUAUUCACGUAGAAGAACAUAUCCAAAAUGGCGAGGCACAGCAAGUUUCUUCAGCAAAGGAAAAUCCAGAGGCUGUGUCUCCUAUGGAGUCAGCUGAGCAGCCAGUUGCCAACACAGCAGCAAAAAAAAAAGGAGAAUGUGCUGAUAUAAUAGUUGACCAGUCAAACACGGAACACAUUGAGGUCAAGGUCUCUGCAGAUGCUCAUGUGGAAGAUCCUGUUGCAGAAACAUCUGCUACGGUUGGCACAGAGGAGAGUAAAGACGUCCCUGCUGCACCUUCGGAACCUUCAGACGAAACACAGUCAGCAAAUGCAACACAUUUGGAGGAUGCAGGGGUAGAAUCGACUGUCCAACCUGCAGAGGAGAGUUGUGGGAAAUGUCCACUAAAACAGUCUGCAGAAGAAAUAGCUGAAACCGUAGCUGAGGCUCAGGUGGAGUCAUCCCCUGAUAAGAGUGAUGUGAUUAAUGCAACCCCAGGAGUUGAAUCUGCUCUCCAAGACAAUGUGGCACCAAUCCCUGACUUAGUCGCAGAACCUGCAUCUGAAUCACCCUCUCAACCUGCUGCUGAUCCAGCUGCUGCAGAGGGGAGUUGUGAGAUAGGUCCUCCAGAACAGGCUGCAGAAGAAAUUGCUGAAGCCGUAGCUGAGGCUCUGGUGGAGUCAUCCCCUGACAAGAUUGAUGUGAUUAAUGCCCCAUCAGGAGAUGAGGCUGCUCUCCAAGACAAUGUGGAACCAGUCCCUGACUUAGAGGCAGAUAUUGUAUCCGAAUUGCCUAUUCAACCUACUGCUGAAACUACAGUCAAGUCUCUAAAGUGUAAUGUCGACUCUGCAGCAGAGUCAGCUUUAGAGACCAGAGCUGAAGAGGUAGUUGAGUCUGAAAUCCAGCUUGCUGACAACACUAUCGUUAAACAAAGUGUUGCACCCGAGAGUGCAGCAGAUCGUGUGGAUGAGUUGAGCAUCGAAGAUGCAGUUGAACCUGUGACAGCUUUAGAUGCUGAGGCUGUUCAGGAUAAGUUAGUUUACAGAGCCAUUGAACUGACAGAGGCAUUAGAUGUGGAGCCACCCACAGCUGAAUCUGCUCCUGAACCCCUAAAAGAUCAAGAGCAACCCCACACUGAGGAGACGAAACUGAACCAGUCUGAUGAUACCAACAUCUCUGAAAAGUUUGAAAAGCCUGUGGAGGAGGAGCCACAAUCCACACAAACUCUGAAUGACACUAGGUACAGCAGAAAUAUGUGUUCAUUUUGUGACAAAAUAAUUGAUGGGAAUGUCAAGCUCACAUUCAGUGAACCUCUGGUGAAGUACCAUCCAGAGUGUCUGAAGUGUGGUGUGUGUGCUAAGGCCCUGGGAGAUAUGCUGACCCCCAUGUUUUUGUAUAACCAAGUGAUCCAAUGUGAUGGCUGCUUUGCAAAAACUCUCUAG
ensembl:lncRNA